rnacentral:rRNA from 1 species
AUUGAACGCUGGCGGCAUGCUUUACACAUGCAAGUCGAACGGUAACAGGCCGCAAGGUGCUGACGAGUGGCGAACGGGUGAGUAAUGCAUCGGAACGUGCCCAGUCGUGGGGGAUAACGCAGCGAAAGCUGCGCUAAUACCGCAUACGAUCUAUGGAUGAAAGCGGGGGACCGUAAGGCCUCGCGCGAUUGGAGCGGCCGAUGUCAGAUUAGGUAGUUGGUGGGGUAAAGGCUCACCAAGCCAACGAUCUGUAGCUGGUCUGAGAGGACGACCAGCCACACUGGGACUGAGACACGGCCCAGACUCCUACGGGAGGCAGCAGUGGGGAAUUUUGGACAAUGGGCGCAAGCCUGAUCCAGCAAUGCCGCGUGCAGGAAGAAGGCCUUCGGGUUGUAAACUGCUUUUGUACGGAACGAAACGGUCCUGGUUAAUACCUGGGGCUAAUGACGGUACCGUAAGAAUAAGCACCGGCUAACUACGUGCCAGCCGCCGCCGUAA